GCUCCAGUGGCGUAGUGGUUAACGCACUGUACUUAUAGGUGGCCAUUCCUCCCAUGCAAUGCAGUGAUCGCGGGUUCGAACCCCGCCUGGAGCA